GUGGCCGUAGCUCAGUUGGUAGAGUCCCGGGUUGUGAUCCCGGCUGUCGUGGGUUCGAGUCCCAUCGGCCACCCCA
rnacentral:tRNA from 1 species